CCUUCGGGUGCGAGUAAAGUGGCGGACGGGUGAGUAACGCGUGGGAAUCUGCCUAGUAGUGGGGGACAACAAUCGGAAACGGCUGCUAAUACCGCAUACGCCCUACGGGGGAAAGGCUUCGGCCGCUAUUAGAUGAGCCCGCGUAAGAUUAGCUUGUUGGUGGGGUAAUGGCCUACCAAGGCGACGAUCUUUAGCUGGUCUGAGAGGACGAUCAGCCACACUGGGACUGAGACACGGCCCAG
rnacentral:rRNA from 1 species